rnacentral:piRNA from 1 species
UCGGGAAAACUUUCUUGGUUU